UUAGCUGUAUGGGUUGAUUCAUCUUCAUUAAAUCUUUGUGUAUUUCAGGAGGAGAUAUUGGAUGAAACUGAUGAAUACGUCAAUAUCCAUAACAAGAUAAAAGUUAACAUGAAUGCUUCAAAGGAGAAGGCUUCUGAUACAAAUCUGAUGCAACCUUCUCAAGAGGUUCAAGGACAGCACACACCCACUAAUUCAAUUUCUACAGCUACUUCUGCAACAGGUUCACCUACGACAAUCGAUCUAAUAUCUGAAAGUGAGUCACUAAGGAAUCAAUAGUUCAUAAAGAAUGAGAGAAUAACAUAGGUUUGUGCUUGUGUUGAAAAGGCAAAGCAGUAUAUAGUUUCCUCUAAAAUUUCUUUGUAUUAUAUUUUGUUAAUAACUAAUAUAGAGAAAGGGCACUAGCCAGACAAAACAUAAUGGAGUUUAUUUUUUUUCACUUUUGAUGAAAGCGGAGUGCAAAUCUAUCACUUUCUAAUAUCACAUCCAAUUCUGUUUAUUUUUGGAAUGUACUAAACAUAAAGCUGAGGUUUUAUGUUAUCUUUUAUCUCAUUUUCGCGAGUUUAUCGACU